rfam:Alpha proteobacterium BAL199 1103548001533, whole genome shotgun sequence.
GGCGUAUUUUGCGAUGGCGGAGCUCGACCGCCGGUUCAAGCCAUGAUCGCCUUCGUGGAGGAUCAUCGCGCCGAGUACGGGGUCGAGCCGAUCUGCAAGGUGCUGCCGAUCGCCCCG